rnacentral:misc_RNA from 1 species
GAGAGAGAGAUAGAGAGAGAGAGAGAUCCAAAGGAUGCUUUUUGAGAGAGUACUUCCUCUGUUUCUGUGAUAAAUCUCUGACCUCUGCUACUACUCUGCUUUUUUUGUUUUUUUUUUAUCUGCGUUUUUAAGGAUGUGAAUAAGCGGUAAGCGUUUUUCCUCUUGUUCUUGCUGGGAUUUUGGAGGAAAUUUUCAAAGGGCCAGUACCAAUUUCUCCUUUCUUUUUUUCUUUUUUUUCUCCUUCUGUUUUUGUUCUGUGUCUUCAGUUUUUCCUUUGCUCUGUACUCCAAAUAUCCAUAGCUGCUAUCUAAAUGACACUUGUUAUAAUUAUUUUCUUGAAUGGAUUGUCUAAGUCUCCUUCAAUUUCUUGAUCUUUUUUAUUUUGAAAGUUCAAUCGUUACAUGAUGUCUUUACAUUUUUCAUUCAACUGAUUUAUACGUGAAAAUUGCAGGUUCUCUUCCAUUUCCUUGCUUUCUCGUGGACUGCUGAUACCAGCUCUAUAGACGGAUCUUCUUCUCAUCUUUCUUGAUAUUUAAUGUGAACUUGUAAGCCUGUUUGUCAGCAAGAAGGACUGCUAUAUUGUACUUGGACACCUGGCUAGCUAAAUCAUCAAGAGACCAUUUCUUGUCUUCCUUGAACAGGGACAAGAUAUCUGCUGGUUGAUUGGAGAAAGAAAGCGAAUUCAAUGGCUAAAGUUUGUUGGCCAUACUUUGAUCCUGAGUAUGAGAACUUGAGCACUAGAAUCAAUCCACCAAGGGUAUCUGUUGAUAACACUAGUUGCAAUGAUUGUACUCUAAUAAAGGUUGACAGCAUGAACAAACCAGGAAUUCUGCUGGAAGUCGUGCAAAUCCUAACUGAUCUUGACCUUAUCAUCACCAAGGCUUACAUAUCCUCAGAUGGAGGAUGGUUUAUGGACAUAUUUCAUGUCACUGAUCAACAAGGAAAGAAGAUCAUGGAUGGUAAAACCAUUGACUACAUAGAGAAGGCUUUAGGUCCAAAAGAGUACAACAAAGAUGAAUUGAAGGCUUGGCCUGGCAAACGGGUAGGAGUGCACUCUGUUGGUGAUCACACGGCCAUUGAACUCAUUGGCAGGGAUCGUCCAGGUCUCUUAUCUGAGAUUACUGCUGUCCUUGCCAACCUUCACUUCAAUGUGGUUGCUGCUGAAGUUUGGACACAUAAUAGACGGAUAGCUUGUGUCGUUUAUGUCAAUGAUGACACUACUUGCCGUGCUGUUGAUGACCCAAACAGAUUAUCUGUUACGGAGGAGCAGCUUAAGAACAUUUUACGUGGCUGCGAGGAUGAUGAGAAAGCAGCUCGUACCAGCUUCUCCAUGGGGUUCACCCAUAUUGAUCGAAGGCUACACCAAAUGUUUUUUGCAGAUAGGGAUUAUGAAGGUGUCGGAGUGACAAAUGAGGUUGAUUAUCCUGCCUCCUUCAAGCCAAAGAUCACAGUUGAGCGUUGCGGGGAAAAGGAUUAUUCAGUGGUUAGUGUUUGGUGCAAAGAUCGAGCAAAAUUGCUGUUUGACAUUGUGUGCACACUCACAGACAUGCAAUAUGUUGUUUUUCAUGCCACAAUAUCAUCUGAUGGCCCCCAUGCACUGCAGGAGUAUUAUAUCCGUCACAUGGAUGGUUGCACACUUGAUACUGAAGGAGAGAAAGAAAGAGUCAUCAAAUGUCUUGAAGCUGCAAUUGGGAGAAGAGUAAGCGAGGGUCUGAGCUUGGAGCUCUGUGCAAAGGACAGAGUAGGCUUGCUGUCUGAAGUAACAAGGGUUCUGAGAGAGAAUGGAUUAUCUGUUACAAGAGCUGGCGUAACAACAGUCGGAGAGCAAGCAAUGAAUGUAUUUUAUGUGAGAGAUGCUUCAGGGAACCCAGUGGACAUGAAGACUAUCGAAGCUCUUCGAAAAGAAAUUGGACACACCAUGAUGCUUGAUGUGAAAAAACCUACUGCUAGUGCAAGGGAACCUGAAGCCAAAGGAUGGGCAAAAACGAGCUUCUUCUUUGGUAACUUGUUCGAAAGGUUCUUGGCUUGAAAAUCAUGUCCAUAUAAUAUAAUGUAACAGAAACUAUGAACUGUAUAGAACAAUAAAAUAUGGGCAAGGCUUGUAAUUGUAUACUUGCUUGUGUACGUAUGGCAUAAAUAUAACUUGCAAGCUAAUGAAGUUUGUGCUUUUAUUUUUAAAAAAA